rnacentral:lncRNA from 1 species
UGGGUUUGCUCCCCCUUUCGGGGUUCCUGCCAUCUCCCCGCCUUGCUCUCGGAAUGCCCGUGAAACCUUGUCGGGGAAUCGAGCUAGGAUUCGAGAUUUUGCGGUUAAACGAGGGGAAUCGGGUUGGUGUUCGGAAGCUUGGUCGUGAAAGUUGUUGCAUCUUGUGAAACGUCUCGAUUUAGCGAAAAGAUCGCUGAGGGUAUUGCUCCGGCGGGCGACCCUUAUAGAACGGCCAUGGAGAGUAGCCCAGUUGGUUGCCACGUAAGCAUGCUUU